rnacentral:piRNA from 1 species
CACACCCAUGAGAAAAGGAAUGUGCCCUGC